rnacentral:rRNA from 1 species
GAUGCAAGUAGAACGCUUCUUACUUAGUGCUUGCACUAAGUAAGAGGAGUUGCGAACGGGUGAGUAACGCGUAGGUAACCUACCUUAUAGCGGGGGAUAACUAUUGGAAACGAUAGCUAAUACCGCAUAAGAAGAGUUAACACAUGUUAAUUCUUUAAAAGGGGCAAUUGCUCCACUAUGAGAUGGACCUGCGUUGUAUUAGCUAGUUGGUGAGGUAACGGCUCACCAAGGCAACGAUACAUAGCCGACCUGAGAGGGUGAUCGGCCACACUGGGACUGAGACACGGCCCAGACUCCUACGGGAGGCAGCAGUAGGGAAUCUUCGGCAAUGGACGAAAGUCUGACCGAGCAACGCCGCGUGAGUGAAGAA